AUGCAUUCUGUCACGCUGGACAGCAGCGGUUCGCCGAAGAAACGGACGUUAUCUCGGGGACUGAGCGAGGACGAGUCGCUCCGCAGUAUCAUAAAAGAGGCCGAGAUUUCAACCAGGCGUCUGACACGAAGCGACAGCCGAGCGGGGACCCUGAAGAGGCGGACUGACAGUCAGCAGUCCGACCAGGAGCUCUACAUGGGACUCCCAGAAAUGCUGGAGCUCCAGGCCAGCUAUGAAGAGGUGGUGCAGGAGCUGCGUGGGCUGGAGGUCGAGCGAGAGACUCUGUUGUUCCAGGUGGACGUCCUGCAGGACACGCUGGAGAGUGUAGAGGAGCUGCUGGCAGAGGCCCAGAGGGAAGCUGGACAGGCCAGUACGGAGUUGGAACGAGAGAGAGAGGCCAAAAAGAAAUCGGAGAGCAUGGUUUGCUCUCUGAUGCAAGAAGUGGAAAGUUUAAAAGAGGAGAGGAAUAACAAAGCAUCUGCGACAGUGGCCGCGCCGUGUGGGAGUCCCCAAAUAAAAAAUGAUACAAAGGAAUUGACCAAAAGCUCCCAGCUGUGUGAACCUCACGGUGGUGGAAGCCAAGGCCAGGCGUCAGACAAAGGAGGACAGAAGGAAAGGGCAGAGGACGAGGAAUGCGUCCUGACGAAGGUGCAGAAGGUGGUCACCAAGCCGCUGAACCAGUUGCCGUCUCUUGCGGUGGAUUACCCAUCAAGUGAGGACGGCGUCCUACGGAGGCCUUAUGAAAAUGGUGUCGCGAGUGGACGAGAUCCCUCUCCCGACAGGAACGACUCAGACAGCAUAAGUGCCUACGAGGAUGCUUCUGCUGAGACUCCAGAGCAGGACAGGAGGUUUCCGGAUGAAUUGGACAAUUCGGAGCUGCCUGAUGAUUCCAAAAAAUGUUCUACUAAAAGCUGCCUGGUCGAUGACGAGAAAACCAAAGACCCAGAUAGCUGUGUAGUGUCUUAA
ensembl:lncRNA